AUGUUACCUUUGAAACCUAUCAUUCCAACAAGGAUAAAAUUAUUGAUGGUGUGGUUGUCUACUAUACACCUUACAAUAGUACAUGGGAAUGAAGGAGACACAAUUAAUGAGUUGGUAAUCAUGUUUGACCAGAUGUUAAGACACGUUACCUGACAAACUACAUUAUGUUGUCUGAAUAGGAGCAAUACACAUUUUCUUUGAAUUUAAUGUCCCAUAAAUCUGCAAAAUCUCAUAAGAUAUUAAUUAGUCAUAAGAGAAAAUGUAAAUAAA
rnacentral:lncRNA from 1 species